UAGACUUUCCGUUUAGGCCGCGUCAGCCAUCGGUGUCUGACAGCGUGUAACAUGAGAACUAUAAAAUUUUACACUAUUUUACGGAAUUACAGAAAACAAAACAGACUUGGUGCGUAACGUGUUCAAUGAAUGCCUAUAGGAAUCACGUUCCAAACGUAAACUACCUUCUACUACGAUAGGAAACACCAGCUCCUGCAGUACCAGCGCUUCGAAGCGGCGCGCCUGGCCUGAACGGGAUUGCUGUAGAAAUACGCGUGGCGUUCAACGUGUUAAGUAAGAAAAAAAAAGUAAA